rnacentral:rRNA from 1 species
GACGAACCGUGCGAACGUUGUUCGGAUUCACUGGGCUUAAAGGGCGCGUAGGCGGGUUCUCAAGUCGGGGGUGGAAUCCCACAGCCUAACUGUGGAAGUGCCCCCGAUACUGGGAGCCUGGAGGGAGGUAGGGGUGUGUGGAACUUCCGGUGGAGCGGUGAAAUGCGUAGAUAUCGGAAGGAACGACGGUGGCGAAAGCGCCGCACUGGACCUCUUCUGACGCUGAGGCGCGAAAGCCAGGGGAGCAAAUGGG